rnacentral:lncRNA from 13 species
CGCGCGCCCUCCCACCCCUUGCUCCGCCCGCCCCUAGCUCCGCCCGCCCGGCCCGCAGCUCCGCCCGCCUCCCAAGCCUUGGCAAGGCGCGCGCGCGCACGGGGUCGGGCUCUCCCGGGCCGCGGUGGCACCACAUAGCCGCCUCCUUCCACCGCUCGCUUUAUCUCCGCCCCUUCUCAGGCCAACCCCGAGCGCCGCCGCGGGGUAGGUAGGGAGUGGGAGAGCGGAGGACCGCAGGCGAGACGGAGAAGGAAGAGAGCCCGAGGAGCAGCCUGGGAGAGUGAUCGGAAUUGAUGAGCGGCAGCUGCUCUGGAGGGACGCAGUCGAGAGGGCUGGGGCUAAGUGACUGCGAGCCUAGAAGAUGGAGUAGGACAAGGAGUAGCCAAAGGCAGUGGAAAAAGAGGCGGAGCAAAGCCUGGAAUCUGGAGAUCAAUACACAUGUAUUUCAAUCCACAACUGCUUUGGCUGCUGACAUAAAUCAAAGGAAAAAGGAGGGAGAUGCAGGGAGAAAAUGUAAACAGCCAGUCUAUGAUAAGAGGAGGUGAAUGCCUGCUAAAGUGACCAGAAGGCUCUCAGUAAAAAGUAUUAACAAGAUAUCAAUUGAAUCUGCAAAACCAAGAAGUGCUUGAAGGAUAUGAAAGAGGAAACUUGAAGGGAAACCCCGAUGGCACAUCUCUCUUCUUGGCUAGGUAGAUGGAAUGUACAGCUAGAGGAUUGGAUGAGGUCAUCCACAGAGAGAACACCGAGAGACUUCUGGGGCUCACCAACACGAAGAAUUUGGGACAAGAAAGAAGAUCCAGCAGAGAAGACUGAAAGAAGGCAGCUAAUAAAAUAGGAGAGAAACUGGAGAGUUUAGAGUUU